rnacentral:rRNA from 1 species
GAUGAACGCUAGCGGCAGGCCUAACACAUGCAAGUCGAGGGGCAGCACGUCUUCGGAUGGUGGCGACCGGCGCACGGGUGCGUAACGCGUAUGCAACCUACCUCUUACAGUGGGAUAGCCCAGAGAAAUUUGGAUUAAUACCGCAUAGUAUACAGAUUCAGCAUUGGGACUGUAUUAAACAUUUAUGGGUAAGAGAUGGGCAUGCGUUCUAUUAGUUAGUUGGAGUGGUAACGGCACCCCAAGACAGCGAUAGAUAGGGGCCCUGAGAGGGGGAUCCCCCACACUGGUACUGAGACACGGACCAGACUCCUACGGGAGGCAGCAGUGAGGAAUAUUGGACAAUGGGCGAAAGCCUGAUCCAGCAAUGCCGCGUGUGUGAAGAAGGCCUGAGGGUUGUAAAGCACUUUCAAUCGUGAAGAAAAGUUGCAGGCUAAUACCCUGUGACCUUGACGUUAACGAUACAAGAAGCACCGGCUAACUCCGUGCCAG